rnacentral:rRNA from 1 species
UACGUAGGGUGCAAGCGUUAAUCGGAAUUACUGGGCGUAAAGCGUGCGCAGGCGGUUUUGUAAGUACAGGCGUGAAAUCCCCGGGCUCAACCUGGGAAUUGCGCUUGUGACUGCAAGGCUGGAGUGCGGCAGAGGGGGAUGGAAUUCCGCGUGUAGCAGUGAAAUGCGUAGAUAUGCGGAGGAACACCGAUGGCGAAGGCAAUCCCCUGGGCCUGCACUGACGCUCAUGCACGAAAGCGUGGGGAGCAAACAGG